GAUGAAGAACGUAGCGAAAUGCGAUAAGUAAUGUGAAUUGCAGAAUUCAGUGAAUCAUCGAAUCUUUGAACGCACAUUGCGCCCCUUGGUAUUCCGAGGGGCAUGCCUGUUCGAGCGUCAUUAUAACCCCUCAAGCUUAGCUUGGUGUUGGGGCCUGCUGUAAUAGAGCAGCCCUUAAAAUCAGUGGCGGUGCCAUUAGGCUCUAAGCGUAGUAAUUCUUCUCGCUAUAGGGUUCUGGUGGAUGCUUGCCAUUAACCUCUAAUUUUCUAUGGUUGACCUCGGAUCAGGUAGGGAUACCCGCUGAACUUAAGCAUAUCAAUAGCGGAGGA
rnacentral:misc_RNA from 1 species